CAUUAAAGAGUUCUAUAACUCCCAAACCCAUGUGAACAUACCUAACGUUGCCUCGGCAGGUCGCACCUACCUUGUAGCACCCUACCCUGUAGGGCCUACCCGGGAGGUGCGGGUAAGCCUGCCGGCGGCCCACCAAACUCUGUUUGAUAUUGAAUUCUGAACCUAUAACUAAAUAAGUUAAAACUUUCAACAACGGAUCUCUUGGUUCUGGCAUCGAUGAAGAACGCAGCGAAAUGCGAUAAGUAAUGUGAAUUGCAGAAUUCAGUGAAUCAUCGAAUCUUUGAACGCAUAUUGCGCCCAUUAGUAUUCUAGUGGGCAGGACCGUUCGAGCGUCAUUUCAACCCUUAAGCCUUCGUUGCUUAGUGUUGGGAGCCUACGGCAACGUAGCUCCUCAAAGUUAGUGGCGGAGUUGGUUCACACUCUAGACGUAGUAAUUUUUUAUCUCGCCUAUUAGUUGGACUAAUCCCCUGCCGUAAAACCCCCAAUUUAUCAAGGUUGACCUCGAAUCGGUUCAGACAAACUCGCUAAAUUGAAGCAUCUUAGUCAGCGAAGGAAAAGAAACCAACAGGGAUUGCCCUAGUAACGGCGAGUGAAGCGGCAACAGCUCAAAUUUGAAAUCUGGCCCUCGGGUCCGAGUUGUA
rnacentral:rRNA from 1 species